GACAGAGGGGGCAAGCGUUGCUCGGAAUCACUGGGCGUAAAGGGCGCGUAGGCGGGAUGGCAAGUCAGUCGUGAAAUCUCUCGGCUCAACCGAGAAACGUCGGCUGAUACUGCCGUUCUUGAGGGAUGCAGAGGAGACUGGAAUUCCCGGUGUAGCGGUGAAAUGUGUAGAGAUCGGGAGGAACACCGGUGGCGAAGGCGGGUCUCUGGGCAUUUCCUGACGCUGAGGCGCGAAAGCCAAGGGAGCAAACAGG
rnacentral:rRNA from 1 species